rnacentral:rRNA from 1 species
UAGGGAAUCUUCGGCAAUGGACGAAAGUCUGACCGAGCAACGCCGCGUGAGUGAAGAAGGUUUUCGGUUCGUAAAACUCUGUUGUUAGAGAAGAACAAGGACGUUAGUAACUGAACGUCCCCUGACGGUAUCUAACCAGAAAGCCACGGCUAACUACGUGCCAGCAGCCGCGGUAAUACGUAGGUGGCAAGCGUUGUCCGGAUUUAUUGGGCGUAAAGCGAGCGCAGGCGGUUUGUUAAGUCAGAUGUGAAAUCCCCGGGCUCAACCUGGGAACUGCAUCUGAUACUGGCAAGCUUGAGUCUCGUAGAGGGGGGUAGAAUUCCAGGUGUAGCGGUGAAAUGCGUAGAGAUCUGGAGGAAUACCGGUGGCGAAGGCGGCCCCCUGGACGAAGACUGACGCUCAGGUGCGAAAGCGUGGGGAGCAAACAGG